rnacentral:rRNA from 1 species
GGCGAACGCUGGCGGCGUGCUUAACACAUGCAAGUCGAACGGAAAGGCCCCUUUGGGGGUCCUCGAGUGGCGAACGGGUGCGUAACACGUGAGUAACCUGCCCUUGACUUCGGGAUAACUUCAGGAAACUGGGGCUAAUACCGGAUAGGAAUCCUUGCUGCAUGGUGGGGGUUGGAAAGCUUCGGCGGUUUUGGAUGGACUCGCGGCUUAUCAGCUUGUUGGUGGGGUAGUGGCUUACCAAGGCUUUGACGGGUAGCCGGCCUGAGAGGGCGACCGGCCACAGUGGGACUGAGAUACGGCCCAGACGCCUACGGGAGGCAGCAGGGGGGAAUAUUGCACAAGGGGCGGAAGCCUGAUGCAGCAACGCCUCGUGCGGGAUGACGGUCUUCGGGUUGUAAACCGCUUUCAGCAGGGGCGAAGCUUGUGGUGACGGUACCUGCAGAAGAAGCACCGGCUAACUACGUG